rnacentral:rRNA from 1 species
GACGAACGCUGGCGGCGUGCUUAACACAUGCAAGUCGAGCGGAGCGGCGAACGGGUGAGUAAGGCGUGAGUAACUGCCCCCCUCUCUGGGAUAACAGUUGGAAACGGCUGCUAAUACCGGAUAGUGGGGGAUGACUCGCGUCCUAUCAGCUUGUUGGUGGGGUAGGGGCCUACCAAGGCGACGACGGGUAGCCGGCCUGAGAGGGAGACCGGCCCCAUUCUCUUCAGUAACCGCCCUAACUCCUACGGGAGGCAGCAGCGGGGACUAUUGCACAAUGUGCGACACCCUGAUGCAGCAACGCCGCGUGCGGGAUGACGUCCUUCGGGUUGUAAACCGCUUUCAUCCAUGACGCGGUAGUGGCAGAAGAAGCACCGGCUAACUACUUGCCAGCACCGCGGUAAUAC